UUUCUUUCUCUUUCUUUCUUUCUUUCUUUCUUUCUUUCUUUCUUUCUUUCUUUCUUUCUUUCUUUCUUUCUUUCUUUCUUUCUUUCUUUCUUUCUUUCUUUCUUUCUUUCUUAUAUUUACUUAUUUAUUCUAAAGGCAGAGGCAGAGAGAGAGAGAGGUCUUCCAUCCAUUGGGUCACUUCCCAAAUGGCUACAAUGGCCAGAGCUGUGCUGAUCUGAAGCCAGGAGCCAGGAGCUUCUUCCGGGUCUCCCACACGGGUGCAGGGGCCCAAGGACUUGGGCCAUCUUCCACUGCUUUCCCAGGCCAUAGCAGAGAGCCGGAUCAGAAGUGCAGCAGCCUGGACUUGAACCAGCACCCAUAUGGGAUGCCGGCACCACAGAUGGCACCUUUACCCUCUAUGCCGGCCCACAGCCAUGCAUUUUAUAAACUCUGGGCUGUUGGUAGAGAGGCCCUGUGGAGGGCUGAAAAACACCAGGCUGCUUGGAGGGCUCGCUCACUGCUCACGGAGCCGCUAGGAGGAGACCAAGGCUCCUGUGCUCCCACUUCCUCAGCACUGGGUUAGGGUCAAUCUUUCCUUCUCUGUGUGAGGGGAGUGCGGGUGAGCUUUGGGGGCUCUGGGCCCAUGAUUCUGCUGGCCAGCGCCGACCGUGAGCAAGCUGCUCCACCUCUUGGCAUUGAGGUUUUCCCAUCUGAAAGUGGGUGCCGUACCCUUCCUCGGCGCUGCUGAGCUCACACAGCAGGGAUCAGCACAGAAGAAUUUUGGACGAGAAGGAAAGUCAACACAGACAUGGGCGUGGUGCGGCCUCAUCUUCCCCGGCUCCUCGAGGAGUGUGGUGUAUCCUGCCCUCCCCUCAAAACCCUCUGCCCCUUCUUUGCUCUCUAACACAGGCCAAGAACCGUCCUCAGACGAAUCUUGUACUUUUUACUCCUGAGUUCAAGGUCCCGGCUGUGGUUGUCGUCUCCCCGGCAGACGUGUUCCCCUUGCACUGUUCUCCACGUCGGACGCCCUCCGUGUACCAGGGAGCUGACACCCGGCACCUGGAUCUGCAGCCCCUCUUCUCUCAGCGCCCGCAUUCGAAGGAGCCGUAAGUCACGAAGAUCCUGUUCUCUGAGACUCUGUCUUCCGUCUGCCUCCCGUGUGCCCCAGGACCUGGUGGAACAAGCAGGGAUGGUUGUGAAUGGCCACUCAUCUGCUCUAGGAAGCUGCAUCCCAGGAAAGUCCCUCGGAUCUCUGUCAUUCCCAGAUCGGCCUGACCCAAGGCAGAGAUGGGAAAGACAGCAGCCACCUUCCUGUUCUCCCCGGGCGAUCUCCAAGCCCAGAGAGGAGGGUUCUUGGCCUGGCUCUGAUGGUCUGUGUGCACAUGGAUGGAUGGCUAAGACUUCUGUAUUUCACUUUGCGUUUCGGUUUGCCAAAGAGUGGGGCCAGUGGGCUCUGCCACACACAGGAUUCAGCAGGAUCAGAGAUAUGGAUUUUCGUUGCUGUUGACAUUUCAAUGAUGAGAAUGAGAACACUGGUGGGAGGGACUGUGCAGUGGGGGGGCUGGAGUUGAGGCAGAGCAGGGAAGUGGCCCUGGGUUCCCCUCACUGAGGACAGAACUCACAGUCAUCGUGACUGUGACAUUUUCCCACUGCUGUUUCAGGUAGCGGGAACCCCGCGUCCCCAGGGAAAGCAUCACUUUUUGGGGGAUACCCUCGCUGUCUGCCUGGAAGGCCAACUUCCUGUUACAGCCUUCUCCAGCUACCUGAAUUUUCCUAAACAGGUUCUCUGAGUGCCAGCUGCUCACCAGGCUCCUGGGGGAGCCUAGAAGAUAGAAGCCGUGGCCUGCAGGUGUGAGGGGUUGGAUGAAUGGACUGCUCUGGGAAGAGCUUCAUCUCAGACUACAGGAGUGGAAUGCCCUGAUCAAGACGGUCCAGCGUGAACUUUGGCCUCCAGGGAACAGAGGAAGUGGUGUGGGUCAAGCUGGAACUCCAGAGGCUAGGGGCCUUCCCCGUGCUGGGCACUGCCACUCUUUCUUUCUUUCUUCCUUUUUUUAUUUGUUUAUUUGAAAGGCAGAGUAUCAGAGAGAGAGGGCGAGAGAGAGAGAGAGAGAGAGAGACUGGCCUUCCACUUGCUGGUUCACUGGCUGGAACAGCCAAUGCUGAAACAGACCAAAGCCUAGAACUCCAUCCGGGUCUCCCAUGUGGGUGGCAAGGGCCCAAGCACUUGGGCCAUCACUGCCGCAUCCCAGGUGCAUUAGCAGGGAGCUGGAUCAGAAGCGGAGCAGCCAGGAUUCCGACCUGAACUCCCAUGUGGGAUGUUGCUGACAUUUGUGGUAGCUUAAUCCACUGUCGGAGCACUGGCCCCACGCGCUCCCCCUUGGAGCCUGUAGUGUAGCUCAGGAACCGGUGUUGAAGUCAGCCUCUGCCGCCUCCCACCUGCCCCUUCGCUUCCAUCUCCUGGCGCUCGCACACUCUCCUCCCCACACCUGCCACAGGGAGCUCACGCUUCCCUCGACAGCCUGAGUGUUCCCUGCCUGCCGGCCUCUGCACGGGGCGUGCCCUCUCUCGGAAGGCACAUCCCCUUUUCUACCAGGAAAAUGCAGGACUCAACUGAGCUGCACAUUCUUCCUCCUGGGAAGCCUCCCAGGCCCCUGCUUGGAGCCCUGCGGCCCCUGGACAUCCUUCUCUCCACGCAGUGGUGUACUGACCACACUCAGAGGCUGUGCUGCUUUUCCUUUGUUCCCCUCGGCCAUAGCCAACCAGAAGCUUCUGGAAGGCGGGGAUCCACUCAGUUCCUCUCUGUGGCCCCAGUGUCCAGCAGGGCCUGGCUCCAAGGAGAGAUCUUGCAUAACCUGGCACCUGGGUUCUGGGCAAGAGACACUAUUCGGUUGUAUCUCAAAUGAUCAGCCUGGCUUAGGCAACGUUUAAGAGGAAGGUCAAGGACAGGGCUGAUCUUAUUUAUUUACCUUCCAGGAAACGGAGGCCCACGAAGAGGUAGGGAUCUGCCCAAGGUCCUACAGCACGUCAGUCACCAGGGGUCCUGAUGCCUGGUCCCCAGCACAUGAAGCCAGGGCCGAGAGGCUGCAGGAGCCCAGGGCCUGCCACUGCUCACUGCAGCCUGGUUCAGUCCCUCUGGCCGGGCUCUCAGCCAACAGCAGCAUGAGGCUCAGGCUGCCCCUGCCAAAGGUUGUGCUGUCAGCAGUCUGGGGGAGGUGACCAGGCCACUUCCCUGUGGGCAGCUGAGACCCAGCAAGACUUGGAGCAGAGCCUGCACAAGACCAUGGGCUCUGGGGACAGUCUCCAGACAGACAGCGCCCUCCUUGACAACCGGAUUAGAACCUGAUUAGACUUGAGGUUAACAGUCUGGAGUGCACGGAGCAGAGCCCAGCGUGGGAUAUGUGCUCAAUGAACGGGCAUCUGCAUAGCACCGUUAUUGCUACUGUGAUGCAGAGGAAAGCCCACACAGUUCAGUGGCUAAACACACUGACCCUGCGGGUGUCAAUAACACACAUUCAGGCUGCAUCACUUACCAAGUUAUGCACGCUUUUAAAAUAUUUUUUUAAAAAUAUUUUAUUUAUUUGAAAGGCAGAGUUACAGAGAGGAGAGAGACAGAGAGAUCUACCAUCUGCUGGGUCACUCCCCAAAUGGCCGCAACAAUCAGAACUGGGUGAGGCCAAAGCCAGGAGCCAGGAGUUCCAUCCAGGUGUCCCACAUGGGUGCAGGGGCUCGAGUACUUAGACCAUCUUUUGCUGCCUUUAUAGGUGCAUUGGCAGGGAGCUCGAUCAGAAGUGGAGUAGCCGGGGCCGGCAUGUGGAAUGCCGGCAGCACAGGCAGUGGCUGAACUCGCUAUGCCACAGCGCUGGCCCCUGUUUUGUAUCUUUAAAAAGAGGGAGCAGGCAUUUAGCACAGUGGUUAAGGUGCCAGUGUCCCAAAUGAGAGUAGGAGUACCUGGGUUCAAUUCCCAGCUCCAGCUCCUAAUUCCAGCUUCCUGCUGGUGCAAACCCUGGGAGGCAGCGGUGCUGGCUCAAGUGGGUCCUUGCCACCCAUUUGGGUGACCUGGAUUGAGUUCCUUACUCCUGGCUUUGGCUUGGCCCAGCCCUGGCUGAUGUGCACAUUUGGGGAGUAAGCCAGUAAACAGGAGCUCUCUCCCUGGGCCUUUCACUGCUUUCAAAUAAAUAUGUUAAUUUUUAUAAAGGGGUGGGCAUUUGACGCAUCAGUUAAGACACUGCUUGGGAUGCCAGCAUCCCACAUUGGAAUCUCCAGGUUUGCGUCCUGGCUCCCCUUCCCAUCCAGCUUCCUGUUAAUGUGCAACAGGGGGAGGGGGCUGUUGCUGUGAUGGGUAAAGUUGCCACCUGCAGUACCUGCAUCCCAUACGGGUGCUGGUUCGAGUCCUGGCUGCUCCACUUCGGAUCCAGCUCUCUGCUAUGGCCUGGGAAAGCGGUAUAAGAUGGCCCAAGUGCUUGGACCUCUGCGCCCAUGGGGGAGACCCGGAGGAAGCUACUGUCUCCUGGCUUUGGAUCAGCUCCAGCCAUUGUAGUCAUCUGGGGAUUGAACCAGCGGAUGGAAGACCCCCCCACCCCCACCUCUCUGUAACUCUGCCCUUCAAAUAAAUAAAUAAAUCUAAAAAGAUGUGCAACUGGGAGGCAGCAGGGGAUGGUCUGAAUACUUGGGUACCUGCCACCUACAUGGGAUAUCCUGAUUGAGUCCUGGGCUCCUGGCUUCAACCUGGCUCAAUCCUGGCUGUUGUGGGCAUUUAGGGAGUGAACCAGCAGAUGGGAGCUUUCUCUCUCUCUGCUCUUCAAGUAGAUAAAAAAUAAAUAUAUAAGCAUUUUUUAAAGCAGGAGGGGACAUGGGGGAAGCUGAGCAAGAAUUUGUGGGUGGUGAAAGAGGGAAUGGCACCAGCUCCUGCAGGGCACGGAGCGUGGAGAAGCAGAGCACGUGCCAGGCACAAGGCACCUGCGUGCGGCUGGAACAGGAGAGGAGUGGCUGGUGGCCGAGAGAAGGGCUGGGGAGGCGAAAGCAGACCCUAGCCUUAUGCUAAGGAGUGUGCACGUGUUCUCGAGCUAAGUACUGAAGCUUUCCAAGCAGGGAAGGAUGAUGUGAUCGGUUAGUGCUUGUCAUGGAAUGGAGAGAGGAUCAGAGCGGAGCAGCUGGACUCAAACCAGGCACUCAGAUCUCAACCAGCAGCUUCGCCCCGCUGCCCGGCAAGGCUCAGCCUAGUAGUCGCCCCUUGUCUGAAGUCUCAAUUCCCUGAGGCCAACCAAGCUUGGAAAAUAUUAAAUGGAAAAUUCCAGAAACAUUCAAGUCAUAAGUCUUAAGUAACUUUCAUGUGGUACAUUGUUAUAUUGUUCUGUUUUAUUAUUGAAGUUGUCAAUUACUAUUUGCUAUUAAUAUCUUACUCUUCCUAAUUAAUAAGCUAAACUUCUUUGGCAUAUACAUACUGGGGGGAGGGCUCGCUAUUAUCCGGGGUUUCAGGUAUCCCCUGGGGGACUUGGAGCAGUCCCUGCUCAGUUAAAGGGGGGCCGAGUGGAGCCGCUCUCGCUCUCUCUGGGUCCUUGCAUCCCAGCGUGCAUCCCACACUGCAAUGAGCUGCUCACAUGUGAACUCUGGGCACGAUGCUUCCAGGAUUGGGCUGUUCCCCAUGCUGCUGCUGCUGUUUUUAGAUUUUAUUAAUUUGAAAGGCAGAGUUACAGAGAGAGAGGGAGAGGGGGACGGAGAGAGAGGUCUUCCAUCCACUGGUUCACUCCCUAAAUGGCCACAGCAGCCAGGGCUGGGCCAGGCCAAAGCCAGGAACCAGGAGCUUUUGGGUGUCAGGGGCCCAAACACUCAGGCCAUCUUACACUGCUUUCCCAGGCCGUAGCAGAGAGCUGGAUUGGAAGUGAAGCAGCCGGGACUCGAAGUGGCGUCCAUAUGGGAUGCUGGUGUCAUAUGUGGUGGUUUAACCCACUACACCACAGCGCCAGCCCCUCCCCCACGAUUCUGAUAUCCUCUGUGCCUGACUUGACACCAGCAGCCCUGUGGCAGAGGCUCGGUGUCUGCAGAAGUAGAGCCCAAACUUCCUCUGCAGAGCCACAGCUCUGCUCAGUCCCCCUGCUGGACACUGGGAAGUGGUGGGGGAGGCCUAGGAGAUGAGACCUCCUGGCGGCUUGGGAGGUAGGAGUCUGCCCGUUUACAAAUGGAAAAGAGUUGCGGGCCAGGAGACAAGGUAAGGGUUGCCAGGCGGGUGUGGAGAGGAAGAAGCAGCUGGAACUGACUUCUGAGACCCCCGGGUGGCUCUGUUUUCCCAGGGUGUAAAACGUAAGGAAGAAGAGAAGCAAAUAGGCCCCGGGCGGCAGGCUGGGGAGCUUAGACUAGGGUGUCGCGAAGGCCCUCUGCGGUCCCCUGCACUUGGCCUGGUGGGGGUGGUUUCAGGGCAACCUCUUUGUUUCCCCUGGGAGCAGUGUGGGCUUAGGUACAAACAUAGCACGGAGAGGCGGCCCAGAUGAGACACAGUUAAUUAUUUGACACGGCUUAUCUGAUUCCCGCAACACUUGCGCCCCUGCCUGCUGCCUGGCAGAGACAACUCAUCCUCCAGGGUGUGGCCAGGUGUGCCCUAGCCAGGGGCCUUCCCUCAGCUAAGCUUCCCGAGCCAAGCUGCCCACUCGCUGCUCUGCGCCCACUGCUCUCCGUGUGUCUGUCAAAUUGUACGUCUGUCUCCCCAGCUAGACGGGGAGGUCCCGGGCACGGGCACUGCCCUGUUCAUCAAAGACAACUGUGAACUUGUUGAGUCCACGAAUGUGGCAGGUAUGAUCGCGUCUAUUUUGCAAAGGGGCAAACACACACACCAGGGUCUGAGGGGUACCUUAAGGCUGCCUUUUAAGGGGCAGCCGCAGGAGCGAGGCCAGGUUGUGGGACGCCAUGUGCUGGGCAGGGAAGGCACACGGUUUCAGCUGGCCAAGGGCAGAGCCUGGGACACAAAGGAAUUGUGCUUCAGUUCUGAGCCCCGCUGCCCCGCACAGCUGAGGAAGGCAAACACACAGAGAGCAGCCACGGAGUGACGUCCCAGCACAGGGCGUUGUCACACUGGGGGCCAUGUUUAAUCUUUGACGGUGGCACCAUUAUUCCCCUCUGUGCAACACAGGAAGCCGAAACUCACAGAAGGGACUUGUCCAUCACUUCCCAGUCGAGGAGAAGCAGGCCAGGAUCUGAACUCCAGUCAAGGGAAGACCUGGGCCGGCUGCUGUGGUGCAGCGGGGUGUGCCGCUGCUCAGAAUGCCCACGUUCCCACGUCAGAGUGCCUGGUCGGAGUCCCAGCUACUCUGCUGCCAGUCCAGCUUCCUGCUUAUGUGCCUGGGAGACAGCGGAUUAUGGCCAAAGUGUUUGGGUUCCUGCCGUCCACAUGGAAGACCUGGGUGGAGUUCCUAGCUCUUGGCUCCAGGUGGCCCAGUCCCGGAUCUUGUAGCCAUUUGGAGAGUGAACCAGCUGAUGCAUGUGCAUCCUCUCACGCUGUCCCUCUGGCUUUCAAGUAAGCAAAGGGAGCAGGGGGUGGGGGAUGGGAGAUCUGGUGUGGCUUUUGGAUAGGCCUAGGGAGCCGCGUCCCGGGACUGUGUCCUCUGCCAGAUGGAGGGCCGCGUGGGCCCAGGGCAGCCUGUCAUUCCCGUUGCUCUCCUGCUCUUGCCCGGAGCAUGUGAACGAGCUCUGACGUGGCUCCAGCCAAGCCCACUCCCGUGCCAGCCUGAGGCAGAAACUGGGGAGAUACAGUGGCCCCGGGCGUCAGGGAGAGCGAGAGGGAGCCGGCAGCACCCUGACCAAGAGGGACUCUCGCCACCUCCAACCCAAGGUCACGGCAACUUCCAUUUCUUUUUGUCUCUCGGCUGUUCUGAAGGGAAGCAGUGUGCACUGGGGUGGGAGAGGAGACCCCGAGGGCCUGCUGGGCCUGCAGGCAGCGCCGCCUCCCAGCCCACAGAUCCAGUGAGGGCCCCCUGUGUGCACAGACCACGCCUUGUGGCUCUGCCCUGUGCUGGAGCUCCACCAAGGGCCCUGAGAGGCAGGCACUGUAACUGCCCAUUCCACAGAUGAGGCAAAUGGAGUUCAGAGAGGCGGCGACUUCACCCAGGUCACACAGAAGCUGGGGUCUGAGCUCCGUCUGGCUCCAGAGCCAACAGUGUUCUUUUAGCCACAUCAUUGUGGGAGUCCAGACUUCCGGGUUCUGAACCCAGCUGCUUCCGUGGGUUUCUCCCAACCUCCCUGGGCCUGUUUCUUCCCGUGUGCAGCGAGAGAUUCGCUCGGGAAAAUGUCUGAGGGCCCUAGCAGUCUAAGAUGUCCUCGUCGCCCAGGGCUCCCCAAGGCAGCCACCAAGGGACCUGCUCUGUCACCCAGCCCUGAAGACAGAACGUUGAAGUUCGGUUCUUGUGAGGAGAAAUCCAGUGGGGAGACAGUGCCGUCCUCACGCCCGAGCAGCUUGGCGUUACCCGUGCCGUGGGGAGGCAGGAUUUGGACAGCUGGGGUGGAGAGGGAAUUCAGGAUAGAGAGAAGGAACAAAGGCUGAGAGGGGAGACUGGCCCCUGGCUUCGCGGGCCUCCCUACCUCCGUGAUGCUUGGCGGAGGCUGGGCCACGCACACCUCACCACGGCCCACUGCACGCACCAGCAUCAUGGCUCCAGAGCCAGACAGGGUGGGCGCAAGUCCUGACUGCAGCGUUUGCCGUGUGAGCCCUGGGUUUCGGUUUCUCAUCUGUGAAACGAGGCUGAGGAUGACAGGGCCUUGCAGGUGGUUAAAGGGUUGAGACGAUGCAUGGGGAGGGGUCAGCACGAGGUCUGGCGCCUGGGAAAGGCUCAGUGCCUCUCCGAGAGAUGUCCUUCCCUCCUCUCCAUCUCCCCACUGCCCAGAUCCCUCACUUCUCGCGGUUGGCUGUCUCUCCUAAGCUGCUUUUCUGCCUGCUGCAGGCCCUUGGUGCUCCUCCGAACUCCUGCAGCGCUGGGCUCUCAGUGUGCUCACUGAGCCGCAUCCUAUCAGUCACCUGCCCAGGAUCCAGGCUGCUUCCCGCCUCCCCAAAGCCUCAGUUCCCAAACGGAAACCAUGUAGUUCCAGGGAAGCUGAUUUACCUAUGCCCAGCCCCUCUGCUCUGUACGCCCGAUUCUAAGAGAGAAGUUGAAUGAUUUUGUUUGGCUUACCAAGAGAUAGAUUUCUUCACAUAUCUAUUGGUUGGGCCCAUGCUACAGGCCAAGCACUCUGUUGGGUGCUAAGGGUUUAGCAGUGAAAGGUACUAUUACGGUCUUACUCUCAUCAGGGAGCUUACUGUGAAGAGAAUUAGGGGUUGAAAUGCCUGCUUUGGGGGCUAGCUCUGGAGUUGUAUUUGAACUGCUAAGCUUCAGGGCUGGUGCUGUGGCAUAGCAGGCUAAGCUUCCUCCUGCGGUGCCAGCAUCCCAUGGGGGAGCCAGUUCGAGUCUAGGCUGAGCCACUCCACUUCUGAUCCAUCUCUCUACUAAUAGCCUGGGAAAGCAGUAGAAGAUGGCCCAAGUGCUUGGGCCUCUGCAUCCACAGGGGAGACCAGGAAGAAGCUCUUGUCUCCUAGCUUCAGUUUGGCCCAGCUCUCACCAUUGCAGCUAUCUGGGGAGUGAACCAGCAGAUGGAAGACCUCUCUGUCUCUCCCUCUGCCUGUAACUCUCACUCUCAAAUAAAUCAACCUCGAAAAACAAAAAACAAAAAACAAAAAACCAACCUGCUGAGCUCCCAUCCUUGUUCCUUUGGACAGCAGAACACUGCCUUUUCCUUGGGAAGCCGUCCAAAGGCCUGGUCAGUUAACCUAUGCGUGGCCAAUGGAGUCGCUCCAGCGACUCAUUCAGCCCCGAGACUACAAGCUUGGAAGGUCCUGUCUUCGCGCUGUGGUAACCGGGUGGGAAACAUAAGCCUCGUGUGUCUGUGAGCUGAACAAGAAUGCUAAUGUGAGCUAAUCUCAGCGUUGGUAGCAAUACACUUCUCUGACAUGACCAUUCAUUUAACCAGGCAUUGUCAGUCUCUCUCUCCUCUGUUGAUGAGGAAAGAGAGAUGAAAGAGACUAAACUGCAUUAGCAAAUCUUUUUCAGUUAGAGACUCACGGUCCUUCCUUUUGAGCUCAGUCUACAGAGGAAGACAAAUGAGUAAGUACAGGCACUCUAGGAGUGAUCAGAGGGUACCUAGUGACCCUGGAGGCGUCAGCUUUGCUGCUUUUAAGUUAUGCAGCACAGGGAGCAGGUGUUUGGCCUAGAGGUUCAGACGUUUGUGUCCCAGAUUGGAGUGCCUGGGUCUGAUUCCUGGCUAUGGCUCUUGACUCAAGCUUCCUGUUAACGCAAGACCCUGGGUGGGGGGGCAUGGUGAUGGCCCAAGAACCUGGGCUCCUGCCGGUCACGUGGAAGACCGAGUCCCAGGCAGCCAUUGCAGGUAUUUAUGGAGUAAACCAGAAGAUGGAGAGCUCUGCCUUUCAAAAAUUUUAAAAAUGAAGUGACACAUGGAACAUGGAAAAACUGGAUGACACAUUAUUUUAAAUAAAAAUCUCCAUGAUCCCCACCACUCAUGAUCAUAGUUAAGAUUUUCAUCAUAACCUUCUGAUACUUUUCUAGGCGUAAACACUUUUUAAAAGCUCACUGUAAAACAUGCAUAAAUGGCUCAAUCUUGGAAUAAGAAAAAAGGACAUUAGUGGCAAAACUGGUGAAAGCCAAACAGAGGGGUUGGGUGCUAUGGCAGAGCAGGUUAGGCUGCAGCCUGCAGUGCCAGCAUCCCAUACGGGCGCCAGUUCGAGACCUGGCUGCUUCACUUCCUAUCCUCUCUCUGCUAAGGCCUGGGAAAGCAGUAGAAGGUGGCCCAGGUCCUUGGGCUCCAGCACCCACAUGGGAGAUCUGGAAGCUCCUGGCUUUGGAUCAGCACAGUUCUGGCUGUUAUGGCCAUCUGGAGAGUGAACCAGUGGAAGGAAGACCUCUCUCUCUCUCCCUCUCUCUGCCUCUGUAACUCUGCCUUUCAAAUAAAUAAAUAAAUCUUAAAAAAAAAAAAAAAAAGCCAGAGAGUCUACUACGUACCGAUGUUAAAUCUUUUAGAUUUUGGCCGGCACCAUGGCUCACUAGGCUAAUCCUCCACCUGCGGUGCCGGCACCCCAGGUUCUAGUCCCGGUUGGGAUGCUGGAUUCUGUCCCGGUUGCCCCUCUUCCAGUCCAGCUCUCUGCUGUGGCCCGGGAGUGCAGUGGAGGAUGGCCCAAGUGCUUGGGCCCUGCACCCCAUGGGAGACCAGGAGAAGCACCUGGCUCCUGGCUUUGGAUCGGCGUGGUGUGCCGGCCUCAGUGCGCCAGCUGCAGCGGCCAUUGUGGGGUGAACCAACGGCAAAGGAAGACCUUUCUCUCUGUCUCUCUCUCACUGUCUGCUCUGCCUGUCAAAAAAAAAAAAAUCUUUUAUAUUUUGACAAAUGUUUCGUGCUUACAUAAGAUGUUAACGUCAGGGGAUUCUAGGGUAAGUGUACACAGAACUCUCUGUACUAUCUCUGGAACUUUUCUGUAAACUUAGAAUUAUCCCAACGUAAGUUCACUUUUAAAUAUGGACCCAUUUGCUAUUGUUUUAUAACCUGUUUAUUCACCCAAUAAUUUAUUAGGUAGUUUUUGUCUUGAAAUGAUUUCAUGAUAGUGUACUACUCCACCCUAUACAUGAAUCAUAGUCUCCCCUCAUGUUGGAAAUUUAGGUUGUUUCCAAUUCUUAACAUGGUACAAAAAAAAUGCUCUCUGUGCA